UUUUAAUUUUUAAAACAUUAGCAUGGGUUUUAUUUCAUAUCUUCAAUUAGACGUUUUCCAUAAUGUCUCUCUCUUUCUCUCUCCUCAAUCUCUUCUCCUUCUAAACUAAAACUCUGCAACUCUAAAUUUCCCAGAUCUUCGUUUUUAAGAUUUGAAUUAUGAGUUUCUGUCAAAAUAUUCGGACUCAUUAUUCAACGAUCUACAUUUUGAGUAUGAUUUGUUUUGUAUUCGUCAAUGGCUAAUCUUCAAAUUGGAUUCGUUUUGCCAACUGGAUUUGGUGUGUUCUUUAAUCCGUGGAGGUGAAACCCCUUUCUUCUCCUCGCUACGCGGCGCUCGGCGAAACGGAGACGACCGACGAAUACGGGAAACCAUUUUUCUCCCAGAAUCUAUCCACAACUCUUACUCUCUUGUUCGUGAUAAGUAAUUUCGAUUAUUUAUUUUAGAAAAUAUGUUAGGAUUGCGCGACGAAAAGCUGUUCGUAGUGGUGGUGUUUCGGUAAAUCAAACCAAUCUCUUAAUUUGAUUUUCAUUGAUUGUAUUUUGAGUAUGAUUAUCUUGUUCGGAUUAGAUUAAAAAGGGAAUUUGCCAACUUGUGGAAUUGAUUAAUAUUGUAUGUGGCAGUAUACUCCGUAUUAUUUUAAGGAGUUUGAUGUUGCAGAGGAUGUUUAUGCUAGUGAUUUCAUCGAGCUUUUGAAUCGAGGUGGGAUUUUUGUGUGAAAUAUAUAGUGCGGAGGGUAUCUUGUUCUAAUUUAUGCGUUUGUUUAAUAUUUUUAAAUUAUAAUUGUCUGCUAAUUUUGGAUGUCUUGCAAAAAAAAAAAAAAAACUCAGGAUAUAAAGUGUAAUUGAAGAAGAUAAAUGGUUUUGCAUGUUGAAUUGAAUUGUUCGGUUCAAGUCCUUGAUUAAUAGCAUUGUUGAGGAUUUUGUUAUUAGUAGGGGUUUUUUUAUUACGUAUAUUUUUAGUAUGAAUUUUGUAUAAUUUUUAAUAAGAAGAUUGAUUGUACUCCGUAAUAUUUGUGAGUAUGUUUUUAGUAUGGAUUUUGUAUAAUUUUAUUGUAAGUAUAAACUACUUGUAUUUCGUUGUAAAUGUUAUAAGUAAAGGUAUUGUUUUUUUGUUUAAUUGUAAUUAUAUAUAAUUAUUAAAAACAAAUAAUUUUGUUUUUUUAAAAAAACAAAGGAAGAGACCAUCUAUUUGAAAUAGGUGGUCUCAGUUUUGAAAAACUAGGACCAUUUAUUUUAAGUAGACGGUCUUAGUUUUUAAAAAAAAUAGAGACCACUUAUUUAAAAUAAAUGGUCUCUCUUUUCAAAACAAGAGACCACUUUUGGCCAAAGAGACUGCUUAGAGAACACACCUAAAAUGGUCUCUUUGUCCAUUUUAAUAUGGUCUCUUUGGACUAGUGGUGAAAGUAAUUUGGAUUAAAAUCGAACUGAACCGAAAAUCGAACUGAAUUAGUAUUUCGGUUUGGAUUUUUUUUAAUUCGGGUUGGAUCAGUUUGGAAAAAUGAUAAAAUAUGGAUUACGAUUUGAAUUCCGGUUUUGGGUUGGAAAAACCCGAAAAUCGAAUUUUAAACCAAAUUAUGGCCCAAGAUAUAAGCACAUGAUGCUUGAGCCCAAUUCAUUUCGGCCCGCCUUCCCCUUUUUCUCUCCUCUUCUCUUUCUCUCUCAUCUCCUCUUCUCUCGUAGAUCCUCUGAUCUCAUCUUCCCCUUUCUCGUACUUCAACAAUUUAUACAUCAAUCAUCGUUCCCCAUCCUUUUCUUCAUCUGUAACGUAAACCGGUAACCAUGACCACCGCCACAUCCAUUACCUCGUUGCCGGCAUCAACAACCUUAAGAUGGUCAUCCACCGCCAAGUAGCAGUUAAUAGGCGAAAUCAAGGGUGAGAUAAUGCUUAAUCAAAGUUGUAAAUUUCAAUUAGUUUAUGCUAAAUUUUCAAUUUAAUCUCUAUUAUUUGUGUUAUUGAUUAUGUAAUUUAUUUUUCUGGGUAAUGUUUAAGGUCGUUGGAUCUGAAAUUGUAUGUGAAUACUCAUAGUUAUUUGAUGUAAUUUGUAUGUAAAGCUAAUUUUGAGAUUAUAGAUUUUAUUUUACGGAUUUUUCACCAAAUACCACUGAGUUAUUUCGUAAUUCACCAUAUACCACACAAAAUUUUCUAAUUCACCAAAUACCACUGAGUUUUUGGUAAAUAUCACGACAUACCAUUAAUGACUAACGGACGUUAACACCGUUAGUCAUUAAGGCUAAUAAUACCACGUGGCAAAAUAUAAUUGGUUCCUUUUUUAAUUAUUUAAUUUUAAAAUAAUUAUUUAGUUAAUUAUUAAAAAAAAAUAAAAUUAUUUUCUCUGUCCUUCCCCGAAACACCACUAGUGCUCCACCCAUUCCCACCACCACUGCAGCACUCCGGUUUCAUCCCACCAUCACCAAGGCACCAACCAGUCCUUAUUCCACCCAACCCUUCUGCAGCCCCGAUUCCACCCCUUUCCAACCACCGCAGCCAACCCCCACCACCUUAAACUCCCACAAGCCCCACCAACGAGCCUGAACUCCCCACCCCACCUAACCACAACUCCCUUAUCCUUCACGAACAGCAGCCUUGCUGCCGUUGUCUCUCCUCGCACCAACAAUAAAAGCCCCGCCGCGGCGCCGCAUCACCAAUUCCCUAAUUGCGCAUCAAAUCACAGCCAACACCGCCAAUCGCAGAAUGACAGGCAAAUCGUAGUAGGGAAUUGGUGAUACGCAGGUGGAUUCGGGAGGGAGAGCGGGAUUCGCAGGUGGUGUUGGGGAAUUCGGCUAAGGUGUGGUGGCUGGGGAUUUCGGGAGGGAGAGGGGAAUUCACAGGUGGUGGCUGGGAAUUCGAGAGGAAGAGGUGGCUGGGGUCGAGAAUGUCGUUGGCGGGGGGAUGGUCGUGGCUAGCUAGCCGGGGGUGGGGGUUGGGCUGGGGCGGCGGUGGCUUGUGUUGGUGGUGUUUAAUUUUUAUUUUAUAUUUAAAAAUAAUUUUUCUAAAGUAAAUUAAUUAAAUAAAUAAUAUUAAUUAGAACCAAUUACAAGCUGCCACGUGGCAUAAUUAAUGUUAAUGACUAACUGAGUUAACGGAAAUGUCAUGUUGUGACAUUUAUGUUAAACUCAGUGGUAUUUGGUGUAUUAAAAAAUUUUGUGUGGUAUAUGGUGAAUUACGAAAUAACUCAGUGGUAUUUGGU